rnacentral:lncRNA from 1 species
GGGUCGGCCGAGAGCCCGGCGGUGUCCCACCCGUAGUCCCCGGGGAAUUCACCAGUCAGGUAGGACGGCGGCUCACCCGAGAACGGGCCCAAGUACUUGACCCGGUCGGUGCCAUACCAGGGGCUCCCGGAGGAGACAGGCUUGGCCCGGCCGCCAGUCUUCCGCAUAGUCACCCGCCCUUCUCCUAGGAGAUCGGAGGCAGAGGGGGCAAGCUUGAGGGCCUUGCCGGCUAGGGAGGGGGAGGAGAGAGCCAUUGUGGAGGCAGCCAUUGGAAGUGAGAAGGGAAGGACAGAUUGAAGACGAGGAGAAAGUGGGAUUGUGUGGAGAGAUGAUGGUGUUGGGGGGCAUUAAAUAGGGUGGGAGGUGGUGGCUAUUGUUAUCUUUGGGAUAUAGAGCAU